rnacentral:tRNA from 1 species
GGGGAUAUAGCUCAGUUGAUUAGAGCGCAGCGCUGGCAGCGCUGAGGUCCGGGGUUUGAGUCCCCGUAUCUCCACCA